rnacentral:lncRNA from 1 species
ACGAAACGGUCUCUAGCGACGGACCUUAUCCUCAAAGCUGAAGCAAGAGUUCAGCUCAGCCAUGGCGUCGCUAACAGCAAGAGCACUACCAAUGACACCUCAAAGCUCAGUAACAGUUCUCGCUUCUCGUCUUCUCAAUCUGAAACCCUAGGCAUUUCUCUCCCCUAUUCAACUCCUUUAACUCUCUGCCAAUGCUUCAUCUCGACCAAUCGUUCUUCCUCUCUCUCUCGCUUUAAUUUGAUGCGAUGAAGAUGUAAUUUUAGUUCUAAUUCAUGUUUUGGAUGCUACUUACACAGUGUAUUGCGGAGGAGGAGACAAGAAGACAGCCAAAGGGAAGCGAUUCAACCACUCAUUUGGCAAUGUGAGUAGUUCUACAAAUUCUUGUUAACCCUUGAAAGAACUCUAGAAUUAAUGUGGGGGAA